rnacentral:sRNA from 1 species
CCAAACACAAGGGUUCAGUUGUAAAGUUCUUUAAAGAACAAUGAGUCGUGCUUCGAUGAAGAUACUUAUGUAGGUGGUGUUGAACCCAGAGGAUCAAUUAUGGAAGGGUUUUUUGGUUGACAGAUCAAAUCUGUAUUAUUCGUGGCAUUUGUGUUAGAGGUGCGAAUGAAAUGUUUUAAAGAGAUAACAAGUAGGCUGAUCAUGGGAGAAUUAGUGUUUGGG